rnacentral:lncRNA from 1 species
ACCCGGAUCCGAACCCGAACCCGGGGUGCUAGACACUUCGGCAGGGUCGGCCCUGGGAGAAUGUUAAAAUUUAGGUUUUAUAUAUAUAUUGUGAUGAAUUUUAAAAGAAAAUAUGGUUUUGAAUAUUAGGUUCUGCGAGGGAUUUGCGGAAUUAAUUGGAUUUGUUGUGGAUCGCGUUCGCAAGGUAAGUGAUGUAACCUCUUUACUAGAUUUAUCGGCAAACUAUGUAUAUGCUUUACGAAUUGAAUUGUUCGUGAUUUCGAAUUUGAUGCAUGGAUUAUAUGUGUAUUUUAGAAUAUUGUAUGAUUCUGAUUGGACGUAUUUGCUUCUGGUUCGAAUUGUGUUUAAUUACUCUGACAUUGUACCCUUUGGUUUGGAACAUUAAACAUAAUGUAAGAAAAGAUUAUGACUUGAAAUAGAUUCAGGCUUGCAGUCGGGCUAUGUUGAGAACCCUGCCAAUGGGGGCUAAUACAUUGGUACC